CAGUCGCCGCGGUAAUACGUAGGUCCCGAGCGUUGUCCGGAUUUAUUGGGCGUAAAGCGAGCGCAGGCGGUUAGAUAAGUCUGAAGUUAAAGGCCGUGGCUUAACCAUAGUACGCUUUGGAAACUGUUUAACUUGAGUGCAAGAGGGGAGAGUGGAAUUCCAUGUGUAGCGGUGAAAUGCGUAGAUAUAUGGAGGAACACCGGUGGCGAAAGCGGCUCUCUGGCUUGUAACUGACGCUGAGGCUCGAAAGCGUGGGGAGCAAACAGGAUUAGAUACCCCGGUAGUCCCUGUCUCUUAUACA
rnacentral:rRNA from 1 species